AAAGAAUAAAAAAGUUUACUCAUAUAUUUUGGAGAUAUGGUCCAAUAGUUUCUACGUCUUUGCCUUAAAUAAAGACGCUAUGGGUAGAACUUAUAC
rnacentral:ncRNA from 1 species